rnacentral:rRNA from 1 species
ACGAACCGUCCAAACGUUAUUCGGAUUUAUUGGGCUUAAAGGGUACGUAGGCGGCGCUUCAAGUCGGGUGUGAAAUCCCUCGGCUCAACCGAGGAACUGCGCCCGAUACUGGAGUGCUCGAGGGAGACAGAGGUAAGCGGAACUGAUGGUGGAGCGGUGAAAUGCGUUGAUAUCAUCAGAAACACCAGUGGCGAAAGCGGCUUACUGGGUCUCUUCUGACGCUGAGGUACGAAAGCUAGGGGAGCGAACGGGA